CUAAUUUUCCCUGAAACUAUACUCACAUAUAUUAUUACCAUAAAAUUUUCAGAAUUUUUGGUUCAUCCAAUAAGUACAGUUUAUUCUUUAAACUCACAUUUGUUCUGCUGUCUGACAGUUCCGACCCUUCUUCACUAAAACUUAAUUAUCUCCUUAUACAGAAUUCAGAUGAUAUCUGUGUUUGUUUCUAUUGAAAAUAGACUCUUUAAUGAUUUUAAAAAUAUAAAUUCUAACCCAUAAUUAUUUGUGUACAAUUUUUUAUGAUUUUCCAAAGUCAGAACAGAGGAACCCGAAAUCAUUCU
rnacentral:lncRNA from 1 species